rnacentral:piRNA from 1 species
CAUAAUAACUGAACUAUGAUGGAUGGC